AACGCACAUUGCGCCCCCUGGUAUUCCGGGGGGCAUGCCUGUUCGAGCGUCAUUUCACCACUCAAGCCUCGCUUGGUAUUGGGCAACGCGGUCCGCCGCGUGCCUCAAAUCGUCCGGCUGGGUCUUCUGUCCCCUAAGCGUUGUGGAAACUAUUCGCUAAAGGGUGUUCGGGAGGCUACGCCGUAAAACAACCCCAUUUCUAAGGUUGACCUCGGAUCAGGUAGGGAUACCCGCUGAACUUAAGCAUAUCAAUAAGCGGAGGAUCAUGACGUGACACAGAUACUUGUGAGUCAUCGAGUCUUUGAACGCACAUUGCGCCCCCUGGUAUUCCGGGGGGCACACCUGUUCGAGCGCCAUUUCAACCCUGGAGCCCUGCUCUGUGAUGGGCCCCGUCCUCAGGGACGGGCCCGAAACCCGUGGGCGCCUCCGUAAGGCCCUGAGCGUAGCAAGAGAAAUCCCUCGCUCGGAGUGCCCUAUGGCGGCCGCCCCGAACCAUCUUAAAAGGUUGGCCUCGGAUCAGGUGGGGAUACCCGCUGAACUUAA
rnacentral:misc_RNA from 1 species